CAUGUACCCAGCCCCCCAUGCUUCAUUCAGGGCCAGGCCUUCAGUCCUUGGGGUUUUCUGCUGGGUUGGGGCAGUAUCUUUCAGAGAUAAAGAAUGGGAAACUUUUGGAAGCUUCUGUUACCCAAAUGUAUACUUUCUGGGACAGGAUCCACCUCUAAGUUCUACAGUCAGGGUCUGGAGUCCAUACCUCAGCUCUGCAAUGAGAACAGAGUCUUCAGGGAAGAAAAUCGAAGACUUCAGGCUCAACUGAGUCAUGUUUCCAGAGAGCACUCCCAAGAAACGGAAAGCCUGAGGGAGGCUCUGCUGUCCUCUCGAUCCCAUCUUCAAGAGCUGGAAAAGGAGCUGGAGCACCAGAAGGUGGAAAGGCAGCAGCUUUUGGAAGACUUGAGGGAGAAGCAGCAAGAGGUCUUGCGUUUCAGGGAGGAACGUCUUUCCCUCCAGGAAAACGACUCCAGACUGCAGCACAAGCUGGUUCUCCUGCAGCAACAGUGUGAAGAGAAACAGCAGCUCUUUGAGUCCCUCCAGUCAGAGCUACAAAUCUAC
rnacentral:lncRNA from 1 species